UUCCCCCUUAGCAGCAAGGAGUUCUUAUAGGGAAACUCCCUUCUUUGACUGUCUUUUAGUAACAGUAAUAACAGUUCUUCUGGAAUAAAAAGAGAAGACAAUUGAGCUUUUUUGGAGUUCCUAGCUUUUCUGUUGCUACUCAACCUGAUCCUCUUUCCAGAAGGAAUAAAAGAACGUUCAAAGAAGGGGUCAGAAAAGAGAAACAAGACAGAAAAUGCAGUUUCUGCCUAAGAGCUGACCUUGAACACACAUGAACAGACUCCUGGCUGGGAGAAAGAAGCUGCACUCGGCUGAUGCCUGCGAUUCCAGGUGGAAAAAGAGAGGAAAAGGGCCUCAGAUUCUGGAUUCCAAAAAACUGCACUGGAGAAGCUUGUUUUGGAAAGCUGAAAAUAUUAUUGUACACACUGCUUCGGAGGCCCAUGGUGUACCAUAUAUACAAGAGAAGGUGCUACAGGGUUAUUGCAAAGGAAAGAGACAUGAUGUAAGUGACCACUGGAGAUGGCUGGAGAGAGUUAAUGAAUGUUCUGAAGUGGAGGAUCAAGAUUAAGACAUUUUGGGAGACAUUGUCCUGCUUGGUCACUAAGAACGAUUGGAUGUUGUGAUGCAGGCAGUGGAGCAUACUCUUCAAGCUAAUGCUAAAGUAUGCAGAAUGAGACAUCUGGGAAAGGGAUCCUCCUUGCACCUAUGAACUGGACAGUAACUUCUUUAAAGAUGAAACUGA
ensembl:lncRNA